rnacentral:rRNA from 1 species
CGGACGGGUGAGUAACACGUGGAUAACCUACCUAUAAGACUGGGAUAACUUCGGGAAACCGGAGCUAAUACCGGAUAAUAUAUUGGACCGCAUGGUUCAAUAGUGAAAGACGGUUUUGCUGUCACUUAUAGAUGGAUCCGCGCCGCAUUAGCUAGUUGGUAAGGUAACGGCUUACCAAGGCAACGAUGCGUAGCCGACCUGAGAGGGUGAUCGGCCACACUGGAACUGAGACACGGUCCAG